GACGAACGCUGGCGGCGUGCCUAAUACAUGCAAGUAGAACGCUGAAGGAAGGAGCUUGCUCUUUCUGGAUGAGUUGCGAACGGGUGAGUAACGCGUAGGUAACCUGCCUGGUAGCGGGGGAUAACUAUUGGAAACGAUAGCUAAUACCGCAUAAAAUUGAUUAUUGCAUGAUAGUCAAUUAAAAGGUGCAACUGCACCACUACCAGAUGGACCUGCGUUGUAUUAGCUAGUUGGUGGGGUAACGGCUCACCAAGGCGACGAUACAUAGCCGACCUGAGAGGGUGAUCGGCCCAACUGGGACUGAGACACGGCCCAGACUCCUACGGGAGGCAGCAGUAGGGAAUCUUCGGCAAUGGACGGAAGUCUGACCGAGCAACGCCGCGUGAGUGAAGAAGGUUUUCGGAUCGUAAAGCUCUGUUGUAAGAGAAGAACGAGUGUGAGAGUGGAAAGUUCACACUGUGACGGUAUCUUACCAGAAAGGGACGGCUAACUACGUG
rnacentral:rRNA from 1 species